rnacentral:tRNA from 1 species
GCCAUGGCUCAGUGGUAAAACGCCUCCUUGGCAUGCAAAAGGUCCAAGGUUCAAUUCCUGGUAUCUCCA